CACGUAGGGUGCGAGCGUUGUCCGGAAUUACUGGGCGUAAAGAGCUCGUAGGUGGUUUGUCGCGUUGUUCGUGAAAACUCACAGCUUAACUGUGGGCGUGCGGGCGAUACGGGCAGACUGGAGUACUGCAGGGGAGACUGGAAUUCCUGGUGUAGCGGUGGAAUGCGCAGAUAUCAGGAGGAACACCGGUGGCGAAGGCGGGUCUCUGGGCAGUAACUGACGCUGGAGGAGCGAAAGCGUGGGGAGCGAACAGG
rnacentral:rRNA from 1 species